rnacentral:rRNA from 1 species
AAUGAACGCUGGCGGCGUGCCUAACACAUGCAAGUCGAGCGCACCUUCGGGUGAGCGCGGACGGGUUAGUAACGCGUGGGAAUAUGCCCAGAUCUACGGAAUAGCCUCGGGAAACUGAGAGUAAUACCGUAUACGCCCUUCGGGGGAAAGAUUUAUCGGAUUUGGAUUAGCCCGCGUUGGAUUAGGUAGUUGGUGGGUAAUGGCCUACCAAGCCGACGAUCCAUAGCUGGUUUGAGAGGAUGAUCAGCAACACUGGGACUGAGACACGGCCCAGACUCCUACGGGAGGCAGCAGGUGGGGAAUCUUAGACAAGUACGGGGGAAACCCUGAUCUAGCCAUGCCGCGUGAGUGACGAACGCCCGUAGGGUACGUAAAGCUUCUUUCAGCUGUGAAGAUAAUGACGGUAGCAGCAGAACGAAACCCCGGCUAACUCCGUG